rnacentral:tRNA from 1 species
GGAGAGCACCUGCCUUGCAAGCAGGGGGUCAAGGGUUCGAAUCCCUUUAUCUCCACGA